UACAGAGGGUGCGAGCGUUGUUCGGAAUUACUGGGCGUAAAGCGCGCGCAGGCGGCCCUUUAAGUCCGUCGGUCAAAUGCCGGGGCUCAACCCCGUUGCAUGCCGAGGAUACUGGAGGGCUGGAGACACGUAGAGGCUCAUGGAAUUCCGGGUGUAGCGGUGGAAUGCGUAGAUAUCUGGAGGAACACCGGUGGCGAAGGCGGCAUCCUGGACCGGCAUUGACGCUGAGGAGCGAAAGCCAGGGGAGCAAACGGG
rnacentral:rRNA from 1 species